rnacentral:tRNA from 1 species
GCCCCAGUAGCUCAGCUGGAUAGAGCAGUUCCCUCCUAAGGAAAAGGUCAUGUGUUCGAAUCGCGUCUGGGGCGCCA